rnacentral:lncRNA from 1 species
UCUUUUAAUUUUAAAAAAAAAAAAAAAAUUCUAACAAAUUUCUUGAAAAAGAUUAUUAUAAGAUCUUAAUUGUCAUAAAUUGAAUAUAAAUAUUUUUAACUAAUUUUGUAAUUAGUAAUGAAAUGUUACUAAAAGAAUAAAAUUAUAUCAUAUUUUAUCAAUUUUAUAAUAAUAUCUAUCAUUUAAAAAAAACGUUAUAUUGAACAAAAUAUGAUAAAAUUAUUUUAAAUUGAUAAGUUAACAUAUUUUAUUUUCAUAAAUAUAAAAUAUUUAUGCUAAAAACAUAAUAUGUUGGU